rnacentral:sRNA from 1 species
AAAUAAACCUGAUGGGUUGUUGCUGGCUCUCUAGGGAGCAUGUGCACGCCUUGUCAUCUUUAUAUCUCCACCUGUGCACUUUUUGUAGACCUUUCAGGUCUAUGUUGCUUCAUUCUACCCCAAUGUAUGUUAAUAGAAUGUUGUGCCUAUAUAAUAUAUACAACUUUCAGCAACGGAUCUCUUGGCUCUCGCAUCGAUGAAGAACGCAGCGAAAUGCGAUAAGUAAUGUGAAUUGCAGAAUUCAGUGAAUCAUCGAAUCUUUGAACGCACCUUGCGCUCCUUGGUAUUCCGAGGAGCAUGCCUGUUUGAGUGUCAUUAAUAUAUAUCAACCUUCUCCUUGUUGGAGAGGUGUUUGGAUGUGGGGGUUUGCUGGCCUCUUAAAAAGGUUCAGCUCCUCUGAAAUGCAUUAGCAGAACAAACCUGUUCAUUGGCGUGAUAACUAUCUACGCUAUUGAAUGUGAUGGGGAAGUUCAGCUUUCUAACAGUCUUUGGACAAUUCAUCAUUAAUGUGACCUCAAAUCAGGUAGGACUACCCGCUGAACUUAAGCAUAUCAUAGGCCGGGGGAAUUUGAACGCACAUUGCGCCCUGUGGUAUUCCGCAGGGCAUGCCUGUUCGAGCGUCAUUAACAACCCUCAAGCUCUGCUUGGUGUUGGGCCACACCGGUAACGGUCGGCCCUAAAAUCAGUGGCGGUGCUGUCAGGCCCUAAGCGUAGUAAUCUUUCUCGCUA